UGAACGCUGGCGGCAUGCCUUACACAUGCAAGUCGAACGGCAGCACGGGUGCUUGCACCUGGUGGCGAGUGGCGAACGGGUGAGUAAUACAUCGGAACAUGUCCUGUAGUGGGGGAUAGCCCGGCGAAAGCCGGAUUAAUACCGCAUACGAUCUACGGAUGAAAGCGGGGGACCUUCGGGCCUCGCGCUAUAGGGUUGGCCGAUGGCUGAUUAGCUAGUUGGUGGGGUAAAGGCCUACCAAGGCGGCGAUCAGUAGCUGGUCUGAGAGGACGACCAGCCACACUGGGACUGAGACACGGCCCAGACUCCUACGGGAGGCAGCAGUGGGGAAUUUUGGACAAUGGGCGAAAGCCUGAUCCAGCAAUGCCGCGUGUGUGAAGAAGGCCUUCGGGUUGUAAAGCACUUUUGUCCGGAAAGAAAUCCUUGGCCCUAAUACGGUCGGGGGAUGACGGUACCGGAAGAAUAAGCACCGGCUAACUACGUG
rnacentral:rRNA from 1 species